CGUGAUCCACCUGCCUUGGCCUCCCAAAGUGCUGGGAUUCUGUAAUCCCAGUGAGCCACCGCGCCUGGCCCAUGUUCCAAAGAUCUUAAAGAUGUCCCAGAAAAGUUCUAGAGUACUAUCAGAUCUCACACUUUGCCUUGGAAGCUGUCAUUCCCCUCCAUUGGCCCCACAACUGCAGUAUAAUCUUCAGUGACAGGAGAAAAUCGACCUUGUUUGUACAGAAGUCUCAGCAGGAAUAGGCAGAUGCCUGUUUUUGCUGCCAAGGAUGGAGGAUUGGAAUGGGCCCAUUAUAUAUUUUGAGGCUUUGAAGAAAAGUCUCAGGAUAUGUUUUCCC
rnacentral:lncRNA from 1 species